GAUGAACGCUGGCGGCGUGCUUAACACAUGCAAGUCGAGCGAAGCACUUUUGCGGAUUUCUUCGGAUUGAAGCAACUGUGACUGAGCGGCGGACGGGUGAGUAACGCGUGGGUAACCUGCCUCAUACAGGGGGAUAACAGUUGGAAACGGCUGCUAAUACCGCAUAAGCGCACAGUACCGCAUGGUACCGUGUGAAAAACUCCGGUGGUAUGAGAUGGACCCGCGUCUGAUUAGCUAGUUGGUGGGGUAACGGCCUACCAAGGCGACGAUCAGUAGCCGACCUGAGAGGGUGACCGGCCACAUUGGGACUGAGACACGGCCCAAACUCCUACGGGAGGCAGCAGUGGGGAAUAUUGCACAAUGGGGGAAACCCUGAUGCAGCGACGCCGCGUGAGCGAUGAAGUAUUUCGGUAUGUAAAGCUCUAUCAGCAGGGAAGAAAAUGACGGUACCUGACUAAGAAGCCCCGGCUAACUACGUGCCAGCAGCCGCGGUAAUACGUAGGGGGCAAGCGUUAUCCGGAUUUACUGGGUGUAAAGGGAGCGUAGACGGCAUGGCAAGCCAGAUGUGAAAGCCCGGGGCUCAACCCCGGGACUGCAUUUGGAACUGUCAGGCUAGAGUGUCGGAGAGGAAAGCGGAAUUCCUAGUGUAGCGGUGAAAUGCGUAGAUAUUAGGAGGAACACCAGUGGCGAAGGCGGCUUUCUGGACGAUGACUGACGUUGAGG
rnacentral:rRNA from 1 species